rnacentral:misc_RNA from 1 species
GAUGAAGAACGCAGUGAAAUGCGAUAAGUAAUGUGAAUUGCAGAAUUCAGUGAAUCAUCGAAUCUUUGAACGCACCUUGCGCCUUUUGGUAUUCCGAAAGGCACACCUGUUUGAGCGUCAUGAAUACCUCAAUCUCCAUCUUUUCUUCGGAUUGAUGGGUGACUUGGAUGUUGAGCCCUGCUGGUAUGCUAUGUCAGCUGGCUUUAAACUUAUUAGCCGGCUCUGUACUGGAUCGGUUUGACUCGACGUGAUAAUAUUAUCGUUGAGGAUGCAUGUCUCAUGCAGCCGGAAAGUAUCAAAGCAGCUUCUAGCUUGCCUUUAGUGCACUUUUACAUUUUAGACCUCAGAUCAGGUGGGACUACCCGCUGAACUUAAGCAUAUCAAUAAGCGGAGGA